rnacentral:miRNA from 1 species
UGAGUGUAUGUGUGUGUGUUUGUAUGUAUGCAUAUACACACACACACAUACACACA